rnacentral:rRNA from 1 species
UUAAGCGACUAAGCGUACACGGUGGAUGCCCUGGCAGUCAGAGGCGAUGAAGGACGUGCUAAUCUGCGAUAAGCGUCGGUAAGGUGAUAUGAACCGUUAUAACCGGCGAUUUCCGAAUGGGGAAACCCAGUGUGAUUCGUCACACUAUCAUUAACUGAAUCCAUAGGUUAAUGAGGCGAACCGGGGGAACUGAAACAUCUAAGUACCCCGAGGAAAAGAAAUCAACCGAGAUUCCCCCAGUAGCGGCGAGCGGACGGGGAGCAGCCCAGAGCCUGAAUCAGUGUGUGUGUUAGUGGAAGCGUCUGGAAAGGCGUGCGAUACAGGGUGACAGCCCCGUACACAAAAAUGCACAUAUUGUGAGCUCGAUGAGUAGGGCGGGACACGUGGUAUCCUGUCUGAAUAUGGGGGGACCAUCCUCCAAGGCUAAAUACUCCUGACUGACCGAUAGUGAACCAGUACCGUGAGGGAAAGGCGAAAGAACCCCGGCGAGGGGAGUGAAAAGAACCUGAAACCGUGUACGUACAAGCAGUGGGAGCACGCUUAGGCGUGUGACUGCGUACCUUUUGUAUAAUGGGUCAGCGACUUAUAUUCUGUAGCAAGGUUAACCGAAUAGGGGAGCCGAAGGGAAACCGAGUCUUAACUGGGCGUUAAGUUGCAGGGUAUAGACCCGAAACCCGGUGAUCUAGCCAUGGGCAGGUUGAAGGUUGGGUAACACUAACUGGAGGACCGAACCGACUAAUGUUGAAAAAUUAGCGGAUGACUUGUGGCUGGGGGUGAAAGGCCAAUCAAACCGGGAGAUAGCUGGUUCUCCCCGAAAGCUAUUUAGGUAGCGCCUCGUGAAUUCAUCUCCGGGGGUAGAGCACUGUUUCGGCAAGGGGGUCAUCCCGACUUACCAACCCGAUGCAAACUGCGAAUACCGGAGAAUGUUAUCACGGGAGACACACGGCGGGUGCUAACGUCCGUCGUGAAGAGGGAAACAACCCAGACCGCCAGCUAAGGUCCCAAAGUCAUGGUUAAGUGGGAAACGAUGUGGGAAGGCCCAGACAGCCAGGAUGUUGGCUUAGAAGCAGCCAUCAUUUAAAGAAAGCGUAAUAGCUCACUGGUCGAGUCGGCCUGCGCGGAAGAUGUAACGGGGCUAAACCAUGCACCGAAGCUGCGGCAGCGACGCUUAUACGUUGUUGGGUAGGGGAGCGUUCUGUAAGCCUGCGAAGGUGUGCUGUGAGGCAUGCUGGAGGUAUCAGAAGUGCGAAUGCUGACAUAAGUAACGAUAAAGCGGGUGAAAAGCCCGCUCGCCGGAAGACCAAGGGUUCCUGUCCAACGUUAAUCGGGGCAGGGUGAGUCGACCCCUAAGGCGAGGCCGAAAGGCGUAGUCGAUGGGAAACAGGUUAAUAUUCCUGUACUUGGUGUUACUGCGAAGGGGGGACGGAGAAGGCUAUGUUGGCCGGGCGACGGUUGUCCCGGUUUAAGCGUGUAGGCUGGUUUUCCAGGCAAAUCCGGAAAAUCAAGGCUGAGGCGUGAUGACGAGGCACUACGGUGCUGAAGCAACAAAUGCCCUGCUUCCAGGAAAAGCCUCUAAGCAUCAGGUAACAUCAAAUCGUACCCCAAACCGACACAGGUGGUCAGGUAGAGAAUACCAAGGCGCUUGAGAGAACUCGGGUGAAGGAACUAGGCAAAAUGGUGCCGUAACUUCGGGAGAAGGCACGCUGAUAUGUAGGUGAAGUCCCUUGCGGAUGGAGCUGAAAUCAGUCGAAGAUACCAGCUGGCUGCAACUGUUUAUUAAAAACACAGCACUGUGCAAACACGAAAGUGGACGUAUACGGUGUGACGCCUGCCCGGUGCCGGAAGGUUAAUUGAUGGGGUCAGCGCAAGCGAAGCUCUUGAUCGAAGCCCCGGUAAACGGCGGCCGUAACUAUAACGGUCCUAAGGUAGCGAAAUUCCUUGUCGGGUAAGUUCCGACCUGCACGUAUGGCGUAAUGAUGGCCAGGCUGUCUCCACCCGAGACUCAGUGAAAUUGAACUCGCUGUGAAGAUGCAGUGUACCCGCGGCAAGACGGAAAGACCCCGUGAACCUUUACUAUAGCUUGACACUGAACAUUGAGCCUUGAUGUGUAGGAUAGGUGGAGGCUUUGAAGUGUGGACGCCAGUCUGCAUGGAGUCGACCUUGAAAUACCACCCUUUAAUGUUUGAUGUUCUAACGUGGACCCGUGAUCCGGGUUGCGGACAGUGUCUGGUGGGUAGUUUGACUGGGGCGGUCUCCUCCUAAAGAGUAACGGAGGAGCACGAAGGUUGGCUAAUCCUGGUCGGACAUCAGGAGGUUAGUGCAAUGGCAUAAGCCAGCUUGACUGCGAGCGUGACGGCGCGAGCAGGUGCGAAAGCAGGUCAUAGUGAUCCGGUGGUUCUGAAUGGAAGGGCCAUCGCUCAACGGAUAAAAGGUACUCCGGGGAUAACAGGCUGAUACCGCCCAAGAGUUCAUAUCGACGGCGGUGUUUGGCACCUCGAUGUCGGCUCAUCACAUCCUGGGGCUGAAGUAGGUCCCAAGGGUAUGGCUGUUCGCCAUUUAAAGUGGUACGCGAGCUGGGUUUAGAACGUCGUGAGACAGUUCGGUCCCUAUCUGCCGUGGGCGCUGGAGAACUGAGGGGGGCUGCUCCUAGUACGAGAGGACCGGAGUGGACGCAUCACUGGUGUUCGGGUUGUCAUGCCAAUGGCACUGCCCGGUAGCUAAAUGCGGAAGAGAUAAGUGCUGAAAGCAUCUAAGCACGAAACUUGCCCCGAGAUGAGUUCUCCCUGACCCUUUAAGGGUCCUGAAGGAACGUUGAAGACGACGACGUUGAUAGGCCGGGUGUGUAAGCGCAGCGAUGCGUUGAGCUAACCGGUACUAAUGAACCGUGAGGCUUAACCUU